GGCAAUGGAGUGGUACGAGAUCUGCCCUGGCACGGCUGUGUCUGUCACACACCCACUGCAGGCAGCCCUGCCUGUACCUGCCGGGACAUGCAGCAGGUGAGAGUGAGUCCUGUAGGCUCGUGCCACCUCCCAGCCCCAUCUGUGUGUACAGCAGGUGCUUCAGGCUCUUUUCCAGCAGAAAGCCACCUCGUUUUCCCGGGUUAGGCAUCCUGCAGCACGACAGGAAAACUGUUCCAAGUGCCCAUCCAGUACGAGAUGCUCGAGGACAGAAUGUCACUUGAAUGAGCUACUCCCUACACUAAGCAGAAGGUGACUGGACAAUUUACAUCUGCACACUUAUCAAAAGGAAGGCUGAAGAAUCAUAUUUAUUGGGUUCUCCACAGCCACAGGCCUGUGUUUAGUCCCAUGGUGCAGGAGGACCACAAGUGGAAGCACAGCCUGGUGAGCCCAGCAAGCAGAUCCUAACCCUGAGACACAGAUGUGCUGGACAGGAGAGCCCUGCCCUGCCCAACACUGUGGCAACAAAGGUGUUGAUCAGUACAGACACCUGACCACCUGAGAGGUCAGAAGGUCACUCAGCCUGACCAAAGUGACCCAACCCCUGCCCAGUGCACCCCCAAACACGAGGAAAACGGGGCUGGAACUGCCCAACCCCUCGGAGCCUGGAAUGAAGGAGCCAUAAAAUCCCUUCCCAGCGUCCCACUGAGCGGAGCUGCUUUGCCACCACGUUGGUUCUCCAGGCUGAUGCUCCAGCAGCACUGCAGAUUCCCAAACAGCAACACCAACCUCCUGAACUGGAUGGAGAACGUGGAAUUUGAUGCUACAGAGUCACUCAGAGGUACCAGGCUCUGGCUGUGACUCUGAACAGCUCCCUGAGUGCCCGUGGAGAGCAGACCAGUGUGGGACUGGGCUCUAGAAACCCUCACAGGCUUUUCCUCUGCACAUCCCACCAGCAGUUUGCACUGCACAUCUUCCUGCCUCCAGCCCUGGAAGGAUGUGCCACACUCCAGCGUGGGAGAACAGAGGAUCUGCAGCUGGGUAAGGUUGGUUGUGUUGCUUUUCCAGGGAGUUGCAGUGAUGGCUUUGGAAAAAACUGCUGCACUUCUGCUCCUGGCUCUGGCCCCUUGCACAGCAGUUACUGUGCUUGGAUUACAUUUGUAUUGCCAGGUAGGGGAAGAGAGAGGAAAAUAUGUCCUGCUUUUGCACUUAUGUCACUUAUUCAUUUAUAUAUAGACUCCAUCUUUGCAGUGUUAGUUACUCAUGUUGUUUUAUAUGGACCAAAGAGUUACUUGGAGAGGAGAGAGUUAAACAACAAGAAAUGGGCUGUAAAACUAAUUUCUUCAGACUCUGAGUCGCUCCCUGUCAGCAAGUGUGUUUGUGCUUUUACUUCUGUGCAGUAAAGCCCAGAUGAACCUUUCCAUACCAGAUGAGCCUUCCAUUCCCAAGGCUGUGGGACAGCAGUGCUUGGUGGAAGCUGUCCUGUGUGUGUGUGUACACAUAUCCUGAGCUGUCAUGAUCCACAGGGAUCUCCUGAGCCAUCAGAAGGUGCCUGCCAGCCCAUUCCACAGCAUAUUACUAUUUUAAAUGUGUUUGGAACACAUAUUUUGGAAACACCCUUUCUUAUUUUACUUUUAUUUCAUAGAGGAAAAACCCGAAAGAUGCCUGCAAAGUGUUUUAGCUUGUAAUUUAUCCCUGCAGAACUGGGAGUGCAGCUCACUUAAUCCAUAAAUACCUUUUAUGUCAAUAGGUUAAAAAAACCCCUAAAAUAUUCCCCUGCACAGAAAGCAGCUUAAUCUCAAACCCUUCACUGCAGGUCCUGGUCAGGAAUCCCAGGAAGGCAAGCAUUCCAUGGAGCCUGGAGCAGGCUCAGCCUGGCCUGGGCACAGCCAUCAAUUAUGGGACACAGGGACAGGCCUGACCUCCCGCCCCACGAGGGGCUGAUCACACGCUGGGCUUGGUUAAAAACAGAAUUACACUGCAAUUACCAGGCCUGUGUUAAUGGUUAAUUUGAAUUACUCUGUCCAGGUCUCUCCUGGCCAUUAACUCCCAGGGCUGCUCCUGAGCAGCUCCGUGGGGAGUGAGUCCUGUAAAGGUGUUUGUGGAAGUGCUACAGAACAGACACUGCAGAGUGAACUGAGGAGAAGGAAGUGCCCUGAGUGAGGGGCUGGGAUUUCUGGCUGCAGGGUUUGGUCACAGAACUCAGAACCUUUCAUCUGCCCCCAUCCCAGCCUGCAGUAACCAGGGCCAGCCCCGGCCCUUCCCUCUGGAGGGGGAGCUGCACCAUCAGCACAAAGUGCUGUGGUCUGAGCUCACAAAACAGGGUCAGCACUUCUGAGGCUGAGGCAGGAGCCCCUUCUCCCUCACACUCUGGGCUCAGCUGCCACUGAGGCAUUUUGGCAGAGGCUGUCAGGAGAAUACAGCCAGGACACUGUCCUUCCAGGGGGUGACACUGCCACCAUUUAGCCAGUCGUGUUCAGGGAGUGGGAAUUCCUGUCUCAGGACACCCCAUCCACAGGUGGGAAUGCUGGGCUCUGGCACAGGCUGGAUGAGCAGCACCAGUCAGGGGGAGUGUCUGGGUUGUACCUACACCUCCUCUCAGUACCUGCUCUGCACUUCCUCUCCUACCACAUUUACAGUCUCCCCUGAGACUUUAAAGCCACCACUGAUAGUCCAGAUCCACAUCCAAGGAAAUUACUCAGAUCACUAACCCAGAACUUUUAAAUGCAGGGGGUUCUCUGUUUCUGGUAUAAAAGUUGGGCUGUUUCUGUAAUAAAAUACUGUAUUAUUUAAUAAAGAAGUAAUAUGCUACUGCUU